rnacentral:rRNA from 1 species
UACGGGGGGGGCAAGCGUUGUUCGGAAUUACUGGGCGUAAAGGGCUCGUAGGCGGCCAACUAAGUCAGACGUGAAAUCCCCAGGCUUAACUUGGGAACUGCGUCUGAUACUGGAUGGCUUGAAUUCGGGAGAGGGAUGCAGAAUUCCAGGUGUAGCGGUGAAAUGCGUAGAUAUCUGGAGGAAUACCGGUGGCGAAGGCGGCAUCCUGGACCGACAUUGACGCUGAGGAGCGAAAGCUAGGGGAGCAAACGGG